ensembl:snoRNA SNORA71 Small nucleolar RNA SNORA71
UCCUGCAUGGAAAGUAAUUGUGGGCUGCCUGUGCCCUGGUCAUUGAUACUGGAGGGAGAGGAGUUGCUGAAAGAUCUUUCCCAAUGUUUGAAGAGCCUAGCCAUCCAUUCCAAACCCUGGAGUUUUCACACA